CUUGCCGAUGAUGGUUUUAAAUAUACUUUGAGUAAUUUCCAUGAAAAUAAUCUGAUCUGAGGCCUU
rnacentral:snoRNA from 1 species